rnacentral:rRNA from 1 species
UACGUAGGGACCAAGCGUUGUCCGGAAUCAUUGGGCGUAAAGAGCGUGUAGGCGGCCUGUUAAGUCUUGCGUGAAAUCUCGGGGCUCAACCCCGAGCGGUCGUGAGAAACUGGCAGGCUAGAGUGCGGGAGAGGAGAGUGGAAUUCCUGGUGUAGCGGUGAAAUGCGCAGAUAUCAGGAAGAACACCAGUGGCGAAGGCGGCUCACUGGCCCGGUACUGACGCUGAGGUGCGAAAGCGUGGGGAGCAAACAGG